rnacentral:lncRNA from 1 species
UCCCAUGUCCAGGACCCAAAGACGAUCGCAUUUAUCCGCCCAGAUGCGAAAUACUGAUACAACUUCCGGUACCUUACCAUCGCCAUGUCGAUGUGCCUCCCACGAAGGAUAGGGAUUAAGAAGUGGUGACUCUUUCGUAUCUAAUGAUGCUUACGAAGAUCAGGAAGGAAUCUUGUAUGAAGCUGAAAUGGAUAUAUAAUUCGUUUCCAAGAAAUGAUGUCAUCCAUCUACUAAUCAGAUGAGUUUCAGCAGCCAUUCUCAAAACCGCCAUUUUGAAAAAAAAAGUUUUUUUCAAGUAAUUCCAUAUACGUGCUUUCAUAUGUAAAAAAAAUUGAACUCAACAUGUUUUGUACUAUGAAUAAAAUUUAUUGA